rnacentral:lncRNA from 1 species
UUUUGGCCAUUUUUCCGCUUGGGGGUUUUGGCACCACGACCUUCGGGCGCUUAUUUUUGGGUGCGGCUGUGCCCGCGACUUCCCGCGGGCACCCCGAGGCCCCUCGCAAAGUCUCGCCCCAUUCCGAGUCUGGCGGACGAACUUCGCCCGCGCCCCCCACCAAGGCUAUAGCCCACCCGUUUUUUGGCCAUUUUUCCGCUGGGGGGUUUUGGCACCACGACCUUCGGACGCUUAUUUUUGGGCGCGGCUUUGCCCAUGGCUUAUUUUUGGCGCCCCGAGGCCCCUCGCAAAGUCUCGUCCCAUUCCGAGUCCGGCGGACGAACUUCGCCCGCGCCCCCCACCAAGGCUAUAGCCCACCCGUUUUUUGGCCAUUUUUCCGCUGGGGGGUUUUGGCACCACUACCUUCGGACGCUUAUUUUUGGGCGCGGCUGUGCCCUCGACUUCCCGCGGGCACCCCGAGGCCCCUCGCAAAGUCUCGCCUCAUUCCGAGUCCGGCGGACGAACUUCGCCCGCGCCCCCCACCAAGGCUAUAGCCCACCCGUUUUUUGGCCAUUUUUCCGCUGGGGGGUUUUGGCACCACGACCUUCGGGCACUUAUUUUUGGGUGCGGCUGUGCCCGCGACUUCCCGCCGGCACCCCGAGGACCCUCGCAAAGUCUCGCCACAUUCCGAGUCCGGCGGACGAACUUCGCCCGCGCCCCCCACCAAGGCUAUAGCCCACCCAUUUUUUGGCCAUUUUUCCGCUGGGGGGUUUUGGCACCACGACCUUCGGGCACUUAUUUUUGGGCGCGGCUUUGCCCGCGGCUUAUUUUGGCGCCCCGAGGCCCCUCGCAAAGUCUCGCCCCAUUCCGAGUCCGGCGGACGAACUUCGCCCGCGCCCCCCACCAAGGCUAUAGCCCACCCGUUUUUUGGCCAUUUUUCCGCUGGGGGGUUUUGGCACCACGACCUUCGGUUGCUUAUUUUUGGGCGCGGCUGUGCCCGCGACUUCCCGCGGGCACCCCGAGGCCCCUCGCAAAGUCUCGCCCCAUUCCGAGUCCGGCGGACGAACUUCGCCCGCGCCCCCCACCAAGGCUAUAGCCCACCCGUUUUUUGGCCAUUUUUCCGCUGGGGGGUUUUGGCACCACGACCUUCGGGCGCUUAUUUUUGGGCGCGGCUUUGCCCACGGCUUAUUUUUGGCGCCCCGAGGCCCCUCGCAAAGUCUCACCCCAUUCCGAGUCCGGCGGACGAACUUCGCCCGCGCCCCGCACCAAUGCUAUAGCCCACCCGUUUUUUGGCCAUUUUUCCGCUGGGGGGUUUUGGCACCACGACCUUCGGGCGCUUAUUUUUGGGCGCGGCUGUGCCCGCGACUUCCCGCGGGCACCCCGAGGCCCCUCGCAAAGUCUCGCCCCAUUCCCAGUCCGGCGGACGAACUUCGCCCGCGCCCCCCACCAAGGCUAUAGGCCACCCGUUUUUUUGCCAUUUUUCCACUGGGGGGUUUUGGCACCACGACCUUCGGGCGCUUAUUUUUGGGUGCGGCUGUUCCCGCAACUUCCCGCGGGCACCCCGCGGCCCCUCGCAAAGUCUCGCCCCAUUCCGAGUCCGGCGGACGAACUUCGCCCGCGCCCCCCACCAAGGCUAUAGCCCACCUCUUUUUUGGCCAUUUUUCCGCUGGGGGGUUUUGGCACCACGACCUUCGAGCACUUAUUUUUGGGCGCGGUUUUGCCCGCGACUUAUUUUUGGCGCCCCGAGGCCCCUCGCAAACUCUCGCCCCAUUCCGAGUCCGGUGGACGAACUUCGCCCGCGCCCCCCACCAAGGCUAUAGCCCACCCAUUUUUUGGCCAUUUUUCCGCUGGGGGGUUUUGGCACCACGACCUUCGGGCACUUAUUUUUGGGCGCGGCUUUGCCCGCGGCCUAUUUUUGGCGCCCCGAGGCCCCUCGCAAAGUCUCGCCCCAUUCCGAGUCCGGCGGACGAACUUCGCCCGCGCCCCCCACCAAGGCUAUAGCCCACCCGUUUUUUGGCCAUUUUUCCGCUGGGGGGUUUUGUCACCACGACCUUCGGGCACUUAUUUUUGGGCGCGGCUGUGUCCGCGACUUCCCGCGGGCACCCCGAGGCCCCUCACAAAGUCUCGCCCCAUUCCGAGUCCGGCGGACGAACUUCGCCCGCGCCCCCCACCAAGGCUAUAGCCCACCCGUUUUUUGGCCAUUUUUCCGCUGGGGGGUUUUGGCACCACGACCUUCGGGCGCUUAUUUUUGGGCGCGGCUGUGCCCUCUACUUCCCGCGGGCGCCCCGAGGCCACUCGCAAAAUCUCGCCCCAUUCCGAGUCCGGCGGACGAACUUCGCCCGCGCCCCCCACCAAGGCUAUAGCCCACCCGUUUUUUUGCCAUUUUUCCGCUGGGGGGUUUUGGCAUCACGACCUUCGGGCGCUUAUUUUUGGGCGCGGCUGUGCCCGCGACUUCCCGCGGGCACCCCGAGUCCCCUCGCAAAGUCUCGCCCCAUUCCGAGUCCGGCGGACGAACUUCGCCCGCGCCCCCCACAAGGGGUAUAGCCCACCUUUUUUUUGGCCCUUUUUACGAUGGGGGGUUUUGGCAUCACGACCUUCGGGCAUUUAUUUUUGGGCGCGGCUUUGCCCGCGACUUAUUUUUGGCGCCCCGAGGCCCCUCGCAAAGUCUCGCCCCAUUCCGAGUCCGGCGGACGAACUUCGCCCGCGCCCCCCACCAAGGCUAUAGCCCACCCGUUUUUUGGCCAUUUUUCCGCUGGGGGGUUUUGGCACCACGACCUUCGGGCGCUUAUUUUUUGGCGCGGCUAUGCCCGCGACUUCCCGCGGGCACCCCGAGGCCCCUCGCAAAGUCUCGCCCCAUUCCGAGUCCGGCGGACGAACUUCGCCCGCGCCCCCCACCAAGGCUAUAGCCCACCCGUUUUUUGGCCAUUUUUCCACUGGGGGGUUUUGGCACCACGACCUUCGGGCACUUAUUUUUGGGCGCGGCUUUGCCCGCCGCUUAUUUUUGGUGCCCCGAGGGCCCUCGCAAAGUCUCGCCCCAUUCCGAGUCCGGCGGACAAACUUCGCCCGCGCCCCCCACCAAGGCUAUAACCCACCUGUUUUUUGGCCAUUUUUCCGCUGGGGGGUUUUGGCACCACGACCUUCGGGCACUUAUUUUUGGGCGCGGCUUUGCCUGCGGCUUAUUUUGGCACCCCGAGGCCCCUCGCAAAGUCUCGCCCCAUUCCGAGUCCGGCGGACCAACUUCGCCCGCGCCCCCCACCAAGGCUAUAGUCCACCCGUUUUUUGGCCAUUUUUCCGCUGGGAGGUUUUGGCACCACGACCUUCGGGCGCUUAUUUUUGGGCGCGGCUGUGCCUGCGACUUCCCGCGGGCACCCCGAGGCCCCUCGCAAAGUCUCUCCCCAUUCCGAGUCCGGCGGACGAACUUCGCCUGCGCCCCCCACCAAGGCUAUAGCCCACCCGUUUUUUGGCCAUUUUUCCGCUGGGGGGUUUUGGCACCACGACCUUCGGGCGCUUAUUUUUGGGCGCGGCUUUGCCCACGGCUUAUUUUUGGCGCCCCGAGGCCCCUCGCAAAGUCUCGCCCCAUUCCGAGUCCGGCGGACGAACUUCGCCCGCGCCCCCCACCAAGGCUAUAGCCCACCCAUUUUUUGGCCAUUUUUCCGCUGGGGGGUUUGGCACC